rnacentral:rRNA from 1 species
GAUGAACGCUGGCGGCGUGCCUAAUACAUGCAAGUCGAGCGAACAGACGAGGAGCUUGCUCCUCUGACGUUAGCGGCGGACGGGUGAGUAACACGUGGAUAACCUACCUAUAAGACUGGGAUAACUUCGGGAAACCGGAGCUAAUACCGGAUAAUAUAUUGAACCGCAUGGUUCAAUAGUGAAAGACGGUUUUGCUGUCACUUAUAGAUGGAUCCGCGCCGCAUUAGCUAGUUGGCAAGGUAACGGCUUACCAAGGCAACGAUGCGUAGCCGACCUGAGAGGGUGAUCGGCCACACUGGAACUGAGACACGGUCCAGACUCCUACGGGAGGCAGCAGUAGGGAAUCUUCCGCAAUGGGCGAAAGCCUGGCGGAGCAACGCCGCGUGAGUGAUGAAGGUCUUCGGAUCGUAAAACUCUGUUAUUAGGGAAGAACAAAUGUGUAAGUAACUAUGCACGUCUUGACGGUACCUAAUCAGAAAGCCACGGCUAACUACGUG